rnacentral:lncRNA from 1 species
UUCUCGUUUCCGAGCACGGUUUCAAGAAAUAAAAACACCGGCGGGAAGAGGAGCUCGCCGCGGACUCACCUAACCACUUAGCGGGCGUCGGGGAUGGCUUAGGAUGGUCCAGCCGCGAGGAGACGAGGAAGAAACUUCCUGCACGUUACGGCGUGAUCCAACUUCGACGAAUUCGGUAGCUAGGGUUCAAUUUCAGCGGCGCGGUGGGAAAACGGGAUGCGGGCGAGGCUAGAGAUAUUUAUAGGGCUCGGAAAGGCAAGUUAUCCCGGGGUUUUCGGGAUUAGGAAGAUUGGGCUCGGUUCUGUUUCGCUCCCAACCGAAACCUACCAGGCUACGGCAGGGAAGAAGAAAGGCGCUGCGCGCUGGGCCCCGCGCGUCAGCCAAAGGGAGGGAGAGAAGGGCGCGGGUGAGCUGCCCAACUGGGCCGCCGCGGAUGGGCCAAGGUGGGGAAAAGUAAGCAGGCCGGAGAGGGGCUGGGCCGAGGGAGUGAGGGGGGUUUCGGCUGGGUUUUUUUUUCAAAAAUCUUUUCUGUUUUCUUUUUCCAAACAUUUUUCAACUAGAGUUUUGUGUGCAAAAUAAAUUCUCAUAAAAAAACAACAGGCAUAGAAUAAAAUGUGCUCCAACAUGAAUGCAACAACAUGUUUCUAAAACUUAUGAUAAAUUUUAUUUUCCACAAAAUUAUUUAAGUGCUAAAUUUAUAUGCUCUCAAAAAUACUUAAUUAAAUCAAAUUAAAUCCUAUUAAUCCGAAAUCAAAUUUUGGGUGUUAUAAAUUCUACCCCCCUUAAAAGAAUCUCGUCCUCGAGAUUGAGCAGUGCAUAAACAAACCACUGUGGAUAUGUCCUUCUCCAAACAUUCUCUUUUUUUUCAAGUUGCUUGUGUCUCUAAAUACCAAUUUCAUUGUACUAGCAACUUCAAUGUCUCUAACCAGGUAACAUACCUCGUAACUUAUCUGAAAAUUUAUUCCCUACACAGUCCUGAAGAUCAACACCAUCAUCCUCUAAAUGAUUCUCUGUGGCUGUGGGUGGAGCUUGUACUGCUACGUCCACACUGAUUCUCUCUCCCUUGGGUGUGGUCACAACUACUACUUUCUCCUUGCACUUAAUUUCCGUAGCAUAUUUCUUCAUCCAAUCCAAACCCAAUAUCACAUCUAUGCCUGAGGUUCUCAUAACCAUGGGACUAACAGGGAAAUCUACCCCCCUUAAAGAAAGACUUGCUGAGGGGCAACAAUAUGAAACUGGUAUAGUCCCUCCCGGUGAGUUUACUAGCAUAUGGGUUUUCAGGGCAACUAGUGGUAUGCUAUGAGCUCUAACAAAUGCUUGUGAUAUGAAUGUAUGCGAAGCUCCAGAAUCAAAUAAAACUGUAGAGGGAAUAGAGUUGAUACUGAACGUACCCAUCAUAAUCUCCGGUCCCUCUUGUACUGUCUCUGCAGCCACAUGGUUCACCUUUGCUCCAUGAGAAUUAGACUUUUGAUUGUUGUUCCGCUGGUUGAAUCUCUCCGGGCAAUCAUAUGACAUAUGACCUUCUUUCCCACAGCGAAAACACCUAGUAGGGGUAUUGGGAGCACUUCUCUUCAUAGAGGUGGCAUUUGAAUCUUCGGAGCGGGAAGUCUGCUGUCCACUCUGUUGAUGAUUAGGAUUACGCUGAGAUUGUUGGUUGCGAUCCCAUUGACUAACUGGUCCCUGGAACCUCUGUUGAUUGCUCUGCUGAGAAUUGAAAUGUUGGCGGUUGUUGCCUCCAGACCCUUGUGCUAGCAUCCUCCUCUUCUUAUCCUGACCUUUGCGCAUGUUAUCCAACACAAUGGCACGGUUCACCAGAGCCUGGAAUGUAGGGUAGGUAUUUCCAGCCAGUUGCAAUAUGAGUUCAUAGUAAAGACCUUUCAUGAAGAGACGUUGUUUGUCAGCAUCUUCUCUGACUUCGUUUGGAGCAUAGCGAGCCAACUGCUCAAACAUGUCAUGAUACUCAGCCACAGACAUAGAACCCAUCCUAAGAGAUCUGAAUUCUUCCUGCUUGAGCUCCAUCAUUCCUUCAUUGAUGUGUCGUGCUCGGAAGUCUCUGCAAAAUUCUAACCAAGUGACAGGAGGAGCAUUGUUGGGACGAGCAGCUUGAUAUGACUCCCACCAGGUCUGAGCUGCUCCCUGAAGUUGUCCAGAAGCAUACAACACCUUCUCUAAGUCAUUGCACUGUGCUAUGUUUAGUUGCCUCUCCACAGCACGUAACCAAUCAUCCGCCUCCAUGGGAUCCACUGAGUGUGUAAAUACCGGAGGUCUUCCCUUCAUGAAUUCCCCCCGCUUAUCUCUCACAUGAACAGGCGGUGGUGUCGGUGGAGGUUGUUGCUGCAGAUGCUGCAUGAAAACGUGCAUCAUCUGAUUUUGGGUUUGCAUGAGUUCCUCCACGGUGAUUGGGGCAUUGCCACCAUUGCCAUUGCCAUUGCCACGGCCUCUGCCUCUGCCUCUUCCCCUUGCUGCCAUCUGCAUUCCAAGGUAUAUAAACACAUCUUAGUAAUGUCCAACAUGACAAUUACAAGAGUUAACCGAAUCUGAAAUUUUCUGGGUAACAUCCAACAUCAGCAGAGCAGAAAAAUCAGUAAUAUCUCGAGUUCCAGAAUUCAAAAGGAUACAUGCUGUACACCGUUGGAAAGAUAAAGAAAUUGUCUACAACUUUCAUUUAGAUCAUAUUACCAGAUUCCAACGUGAGGUUAACCAAAAACUGGGUACAACCGAAACUGUUCCAGAAUGCCAGACUGCGCAGAAACCUCAACUUUGAACGACCAUAACUCCCAGAUCAUAACAGAUAAUAAGGUCAUUCUUGCGGAAUUAGAAAGAUAUGAAGGUCUACUUGUUCCCAGAAAAAUUUGAUGAACAUUGCACGAACAGAUUUUGAGAUGUACCAGAUUUAUUGCAGACUGCUCCAGAAAACAGCAAAGGACGGAAACAGAAUCUUACCCAAACCCAACUAUUUAAUUCAUUAAUCCUUAUAUCUUAGGCCUAUAAACUAAAUGAAAUUGUAGAGAAAGUCCACAAGAUCAUUACAAUCAUUACAAAGAUCCAAAUCAAGCAUAAGCAUAAUAACAAACCAAACCAAGCAUCAAAGGUUCACACUUCAAGCAUUGACUCAACAUGCGGUACUAACGUUCUCUUCCUAUUAAGGGUAAAGAUCCUAUAGCUCCUAUUUCAAUGACGUUAGAAGGUGGUAAGAAAAGUUCUAAAAGCAUAUUGAAAGCAAGGAGUGGUGAUGAGAACAAGCCUUUUAAAAUAAGCAACAAGGUGAAGAUGAAUAGGAUAUAGUGUGGAAGAAAAUAUCAAGGUUUAUAGAGCAAGGAUUUUAUAGCAAUUUCAAAACCUUAAGACGGCAAAUUUCUAACUAGGCUUGCGUCCGACAGUCAACAAAGCUCUGAUACCAAUUUGUCAAACCCAUAUUUUAAGAACAAAAUAGGAUGCAUAAAAGACUCAUAUGUGCCCCAGAAACAGUCGCACACAUAAGUAGACAAAUCUCAAAUGUACCAUUGCAGUGUUUAUUACAUAGCGGAAUAUAUAUUGAAUCACAUAGUCUCAUACAAAAAUGAUAGCAUAAAGUAAACAACGCUCUCGACGGAAGCUCCACACAGGGACACUGUUGACUGGUUGACUCCAAACCUAGUACUCAUACCGAUAAUCCUCAUUCCAGUCAUCUUCAUUAUCAUACCCUGAGGUGUUGGGAAAUUGCAAGAGUGAGCACAUAUCGUACUCAACAAGUAUAACUAGGGGUUCAUGAGGCUCAAAUGGCUGACACUGGUUUGACUGCAAUUAGCUUUUAAUAGUGGAUAGCAUGUUCAUAAUUAAUGAGCAAUUGUCAAGGUAGCAUAAAUAAUCCAUUAAUCCCAUGAUCAAGUGUAAGCAUAAUUAACCUCAUAGCAUAAACGAUAAUCAAAUGAACAUAAUAACAUAACAAGCUCAUCAUCUUAAUGUAGAUGUCCCCAAGGCCGCUCCUGACCGUGAGCUCGGCUAGUAUACCAGUUUUACACUCUGCAGAGGUUGUACAUCUUUACCCAUGAGUCAUGAUUUACCCUUUCGCCCGAGGUAGCUAAUCUCUUAACCCCCUUCCUAGGGAGGUCGGCAGGGAUCACUAUGAAGCCUUUCAAAAGUUCGUCUAACAAGUUAGGGCCGCAAGGUUUCCUUUGCGCGCAGAUAUAGAGCCCCCCUUCCGAUGGCACAAUGACUCGCAGCCUAUACUCAUACAGACAGAGGCCACACUAUACCCAAAACGGUUCAGCCCCUCCGCCCUUUCGGGUAACCGCUAACAAGCUAGAAAAGGGCUUCAUACUGAGCUAAAGCCAGAGCCAUUAUAGCCCUCAUGGUUGCACUGUUAUCCCGGGUGAUCACGUACAGACAAGAUCUCAUACAGUUAUUUGUCAUUCUUUUAUGUUCAUUGCAUAGCCAUUAAUCAUCUUACAAGAUCAUGGAUUAUAUCAAGCACUAGCACAUCUACACCAAAUGCAUAUCAAGUAGGUAGCAAGGAAUACAGGUAACAAUCAUCUAUGAUUUUGCUAAGGUCGACAAGGUGAUAGCAUGCAUAUGAUAUAUAUGCGUACUUAAGUGAAUAGGUAACAAGGAUGAUCCCAAGUUAUACUUGCCUUGACCAAAGCUCUCCUGAGCCCGCUGGUCUUCAAAAGCUUGGUCUUGAUCACCAACGUACAGCUCACCGUCUAAUCCCAACAUCAAUCAACAACACGCAAUCCAAUGUAGACAAUCAUACACGAAGCAAACAAGGUAUAAUUAGAACAAUACACCAAACAGUGGUAAAACAAAUAUAAAAGUUUAUGAAAAUAUUCUACGCAGCGCUACGAUCACACAAACGUAAAGUUCACGAAAAUCGGAAUUAAAACGAGUAAGAUAUGAAUUUUCUAAGAUUUCCUAUAGAGUAAUAAUUAAUUAAAUGCUACUGCAGAAUUAAAAAGUUUCAAAACAGUAAACUAAUAUUUCUAACAUGUAGAGAUCGUAAAUACGAAUCCAACGGAAUUUGAAUGGACAAAAACGGAGUUAAAAUGAAUAUUUUAUGAGCAAAACCAAAUCAGUGGCAAAACUGUAAUUAGCCGAAAACGUAUUUGGCCUUAACCAAACGUAAAUACGCUUUCAACACAAGGAAACGUAAUCUGUUCCAGGGCGCCAGCGACCGCGGGGUAAUUAACCAAUCUUUCCAGGGACUCUUUACGAAUUCUCGCAAUGAAAGGGUAUCUUCUAAUCCUGGCCCUUGAUCUUGGAUCCGACGGUUCACGAGCUUCCAGGACCAAAUCACGGUGGCGCCGGCCACCAGGGGCAUUCCGGUGCGGCGGUGGCCAUGCGAGCCGCCGGAAAGCUCGCCGGAGAAUGUUGACUUCUCGUUUCCGAGCACGGUUUCAAGAAAUAAAAACACCGGCGGGAAGAGGAGCUCGCCGCGGACUCACCUAACCACUUAGCGGGCGUCGGGGAUGGCUUAGGAUGGUCCGGCCGCGAGGAGACGAGGAAGAAACUUCCUGCACGUUACGGCGUGAUCCAACUUCGACGAAUUCGGUAGCUAGGGUUCAAUUUCAGCGGCGCGGUGGGAAAACGGGAUGCGGGCGAGGCUAGAGAUAUUUAUAGGGCUCGGAAAGGCAAGUUAUCCCGGGGUUUUCGGGAUUGGGAAGAUUGGGCUCGGUUCUGUUUCGCUCCCAACCGAAACCUACCAGGCUACGGCAGGGAAGAAGAAAGGCGCUGCGCGCUGGGCCCCGCGCGUCAGCCAAAGGGAGGGAGAGAAGGGCGCGGGUGAGCUGCCCAACUGGGCCGCCGCGGAUGGGCCAAGGUGGGGAAAAGUAAGCAGGCCGGAGAGGGGCUGGGCCGAGGGAGUGAGGGGGGUUUCGGCUGGGUUUUUUUUCAAAAAUCUUUUCUGUU